AUUCCGAUGAAGGUGAUUUGGUUCUUCCAAUCUGUUUGAGAAGCAAGCAGAUGAAGCAUAGGAGCGACGUGAUACUCCAUAUUCCCGUUAUAUGAAGAACCUGAUUGGUGAAGCUAAUUCUCAAAUCUGCCAGGAAAGCUUCGGCACCACUGCAAAUGGAGUACAACAGAAGGGAAGUGGCAGAGAGGGAAUGACAGAGGCAGGCCUAAGCAUGUUCCUUAUAUUCUUCUAUCUCCUAUUUAUUGCAUGGGUCACCAUCAUGAGUGGGCAUUUGCUUACUGGGCAAAGGAGUAGAACCCACAUAUGGUUGUUUGACCAUGCUGGAAGUGACCACUUGCCCAAAACUGAAUUAGAAGGAGAGAGGUAUAAGGAGGCAAAGUUCAUCGACAAGUCACUGUCUGCACUGGGUGAUGUUAUUGCUUCCCUUACCUUCAAAACGCCCAUGUACAUGUUUAUUCACCUUCAUUUUUGUUUUGUACAAUCACUGAAACUGGUUGCGUGCAUGCAGCAGUUCAUUAGUGCUUAUUUAAUUGAUUAUCCAUGACAAAAAUAGCUCUUUGUAGCGUUCUCUAUUCUUGAGGCUGUCGAAAACUCAAUGCUUAUAAAGAGUAAACUUUUAGUGUGACCAUCAAUGGAUUUAUUUUAUAGAUUGCAGUGGCUUUGCCAAAGUAUCAAGGCAACCAUUCAGAUGUUGGUGACAAUGAGGCACUAAGAAAGAAGAGUGCAUAUGUGGCUUUGUCUAACUUGUCAAGACCAGGCUCACGCUAUUGCUCAUAUCUUGCUUGUUAAAAUUCACAUCUUCUACACGUGAUAAGCAAGUUGCACUGAUUUUUCCAAGUGCAUUCCCAGUAUAGUAGUAUUUCUUUC